AAACAUUAAAUCUGCUGCUCCAGUUGCCAUUCUUCUCUUCUCUUUCUUCUCUCGUUUUCUAUAUCUCUUAUUUGUUUUUUUCAAGUGUGUGUGUGUGAGUGAAUUUGCAUUUUUGGUUGAAGGGUUUAUAUAGAGGUAAAGGUUUAUACUUGUCUGAUUACAACUAUGAUGCCGUAGUGGUACCUAGACUCUACACAGAACAAUUAGAUUCUGUGUUUGUGUGUAAAAUUGUUGUCUUAGAAAUCUAAACAUGAGUAAGACAAAACAAGCUGUCUGCUAAAGAAAAGUCAAAAGCAUAAAUUCCCC
rnacentral:lncRNA from 1 species